CAGUCUCUCACUGGUCACCGGCUACACAGAGAGGGAAAACCCCCAUAGGAAUACAAGAACAUGACUCAGCUCGUUAACUAACCUUAGUCAAUUCAGCUAACGCUACUCGGCUAGCUGCUGAGUGGAAGAGUCAUCAUUGGAAAAACGGAUGUCAUAAUCUUUCCGGACAGGAAAAAUAUUUGGUUUUAGACAGAUUUACUUUCGGCUUCACAAUCAAGAACUCACCAGACUAUUUCAUCGAUGUGUGUCCUUGUGGGGCAAAGCAACGAUGGGAAAUACAUCAAUGGACUCUCCCAACAGCUUCUGCAUAGGAGAUUGUGGUGAGAUUAUACAUUCAAUCCAAUUGUCUGAUGAUAUGAAAUAAUACAUCAUGUACCAAUACAAGGUUUCUGUUUUGAUGAUAUUUCUAACACGGUUGUGUCUUUUACCCCCUUUAGAUAGAAAAGAUCUGAUUUGAAAAGAUCUGUGAUUGGUCGAAAUACUAAUUAGUGGAAAACAUAUCACAAAUUGGGCUGCCUGUGUAAAAAAAAAGAAGAAGCUAAUUUUAUAAUUUUUUAUUCACUUAAUGUACUUCACAUCAAGAAUAUCUGUUCCAGAAUCUUAAUGUACUUCACAUCAAGAAUAACUGUUCCAGAAUCUUACUUCACAUCAAGAAUAACUGUUCCAGAAUCUUAAUGUCCUUCACAUCAAGAAUAACUGUUCCAGAAUCUUAAUGUACUUCACAUCAAGAAUAACUGUUCCAGAAUCUUAAUGUCCUUCACAUCAAGAAUAACUGUUCCAGAAUAUUAAUGUAUUUCACAUCAAGAAUAACUGUUCCAGAAUCUUAAUGUCAUUCACAUCAAGAAUAACUGUUCCAGAAUAUUACUUCACAUCAAGAAUAACUGUUCCAGAAUCUUAUCACAUCUUUAUUUAAUAUAUCUGGAGCGCAAACUGGUUCGGUCUCCAACUCAUCAGAGAAUAAAGUAAUGUAAAUGGGUUUUGAAAAUAGGUUUUAUUUUUAAAUACGAAAAAAAUACAUAAAUUACAGCAUAUAUCCAAUACCAAAUAAAUAAAGAGAUAAACAUAAAAAAGGGGAAAUGUUUACAUUCUGUUGCCUAGCUACAGAGCCCAGUAGCCAUGUGAAAAGUGCAUGUCAACCAUGAUCCAGCUAAUGGUGAUAUUACACAGCUACUGAAGGGCUUGACCCCACUACAUGGCUGUGUUCCAGUGUCCAUAUGAGCAAAGUCUUGUAUCACACCCAUUUCAAUAUCUGCUGUUCUGUUCAUGUUAAUUAAUGUACCCUUAUUGUAAAGUGUUACCUAAUUGUUUUAUUCAUACAGAAAGGUUUCUAAAAAAAUAACAUUUAAAUACAUUUUUUGUCUCCAGACAGAACUGAUUAAAACUGUAUAGUCUAUGAAAUGACAUCAACCAAGAAACCAACCUCUUCACUCCAAAAUGAAUAGAAAAGGGGGUUGAAUGUGAGAGAGGGUUUGAGGUCAGAAAAGGCGGCCGGUAGUGCGGACUAAAUGGAGAAAAUGUUGGUGAAUCAACAGCUGUCCUGGAAUUUUGACAAUAUGGCUGUCAGUUCUGAUGGUAUGGUCGGUAGUGGAAAGACACAGGAAGAAGAGAGAUCAUGAUACAGAAAGACACAGGAAGAAGAGAGAUCAUGAUACAGAAAGGUAGACGUUAGUAGGGAUUUAUUUGUUUUUUUAUUUUCAAGGUAGUACAGAAUUGGGCAGAUAAUGAUUGAUCAUACAUUCCAGCACAGUAGGUGGCGGCAUGCACUUUAAACGUUUGUUUGCGGACCAGCCAUGAUAUCAUAGAAGAAGAAGAAGAAAAAAAUAUUAACCUUCAUGACAUCAUAGAAGAAGAUUUACCUUCAUGACAUCAUAGAAGAAGAAUAUUCACCUUCAUGACAUCAUAGAAGAAGAUUUACCUUCAUGACAUCAUAGAAGAAGAAGAUUUACCUUCAUGACAUCAUAGAAGAAGAAUAUUCACCUUCAUGACAUCAUAGAAGAAGAUUUACCUUCAUGACAUCAUAGAAUAAGAUUUACCUUCAUGACAUCAUAGAAGAAGAAGAAAUGAAUGAAAAUCAAAUGAUCCUGACACCAUCUAAAAUGGAUCUCAACUUAAAUGGGCCCUGACAGGAAUAUUUGGUGCAGGGUACCUUGCUCACUGCCUGUAAUUAUCAUUAUUUAACAUGAUGCAGGCUCUGGCAGUGAGCUACCCUGAAGGAGCAGAACCUAACACCAACACUAACGUAUUGCAAUCUUUCUAAUAAACGGUUAAACGAAUACGUGGCGUUUCCUGUCUGAGUUACACCAAACACAGAACAUUUUCCA